ACGGGGGAUGCAAGCGUUAUCCGGAUUUAUUGGGUUUAAAGGGUGCGUAGGCGGUUUGAUAAGUCAGCGGUGAAAUAUUUCAGCUUAACUGAAAGGGUGCCGUUGAUACUGUCAGGCUUGAAUAUGGUUGCUGUGGGUGGAAUGUUUAGUGUAGCAGUGAAAUGCUUAGAUAUCGCACAGAAUAUCGAUUGCGAAGGCAACUCACAAGACCAUUAUUGACGUUGAUGCACGAAAGUGAGGGGAUCAAAGAG
rnacentral:rRNA from 1 species